rnacentral:tRNA from 1 species
GCCCUCGUAGCUCAGUAGGAUAGAGCGGCCGCCUCCUAAGCGGCAGGUCACAGGUUCGAAUCCUGUCGAGGGCG